rnacentral:lncRNA from 1 species
UCUCAUCUGGAGAUGGCUGUAGUGGGCAGGCUGUUUUGGCUCUGCUUCUACAGACCUAUGCAGCAGGUUUUGUAUUGGGUUCAACCUACAGGCCAAUAGAUGACAUUUGCAGGUGAAGAGCUGGAUAGUGGGGUUCCUGGUGUUCCGUGGAAGAGGCCGGACACAAUUGGGCAGAGCUGGAGCCUCUGGCUUGCCCAUGUGUAUCCCAAUGGCAAGCACAGGCACCAGCCCUGAAAAGGGUGGCUGGGAGAUGCUCUUAGGGACAUGCCCCAGAGAUCUCUGUGUGGGGCAGAGUGAGGAGGCUUCACUGGCUCCCGCAUGGUAGACAGACAUGAACAGAAUCUAUUUCCCUAUCACACCCAUUGCAGGUACUUCAGAUGCACACUGUAGUCUAUCUCCAGACCACAGUGUGGUUGAUUGAAAGCCUCAGGAAACCUUGUUUUCCAGAAGAAAAUAAACUUGAUGUUUUCUUUGGGCCUAUCAUUAUCAUCACUAUGAUUAUCAUGUACAGUUUGCUUGAAUUUACCACAAAAUUCAAUGCUUGCUUAAUAUUAAAAAAUGAGACGGUUGUUCUCCAAGAUUGUGUACAUUAUUAUUUAACCAUCUUCUUCUAAAUAAAGGACGAUGAAAAACUUAAGAUUUACUCUAGUUUUCCUCUGCCAGUUCAAUGACAUACUGCUUGAGAAAUGGAAAAACUGGAGUUUCAACUCCCUAUUUAGUAUGGCAGCUAUUCUGUUCCUGGCACGGCCAUUUGUGUUGUGUUGUGAGCCCAUUAAAAGUGAUUCUAUGUUUUUUCCAUAGAUGUCGUCUUUGGUAGUUGGCAUUCUUCCCAGAGGAAGAUAAUGGGAAUCAGACAUGCUUCUGAUUGUCCCACCAGCCAGCUGCCGGUUUCAGCCCAAGCCAUUCUGAAUUGGAGGAUGAUGGUCUAGCUUUACUUCUCAAAUAGGCUACUCCUUCCCACAUGGUCAGGUCGCAGACGAAAAAUCAGUCUCCUGGGAAAGCUCUCAGCCUGAUUGAGAAAGGAGACCUAUAAAGAAACAAUUACAAUACAGCACUCAAAAUGUCACAGGGGAAAAAGUUUCUAUAGAAAAUGGAAGACAAUGUCUAAAUUCAGCGGCCUAAACAUGACUCAAUUUCCUUGAGAUGAAGGACAUUUAAAGAUGUCAUCAAACCUCAUCAGUGGGGGAUAUUUUAAGAACAACCACCAAUAUUAUUACCCUGGAGACACUUAAUUCUAUCACCCUUCACUGGCCACCACAAAAAUAAAC